CUUAAUAGUUACAACUUUCAACAACGGAUCUCUUGGUUCUGGCAUCGAUGAAGAACGCAGCGAAAUGCGAUAAGUAGUGUGAAUUGCAGAAUUCAGUGAAUCAUCGAAUCUUUGAACGCACAUUGCGCCCCUUGGUAUUCCAUGGGGCAUGCCUGUUCGAGCGUCAUUUGUACCUU
rnacentral:rRNA from 1 species